rnacentral:rRNA from 1 species
AUUGAACGCUGGCGGCAUGCCUUACACAUGCAAGUCGAACGGUAACGCGGGGCAACCUGGCGACGAGUGGCGAACGGGUGAGUAACGCAUCGGAACGUGCCCAGUAGUGGGGGAUAGCCCGGCGAAAGCCGGAUUAAUACCGCAUACGACCUACGGGUGAAAGGGGGGGAUCGCAAGACCUCUCGCUAUUGGAGCGGCAGAUGUCAGAUUAGGUAGUUGGUGGGGUAAAGGCCUACCAAGCCGACGAUCUGUAGCUGGUCUGAGAGGACGACCAGCCACACUUGUACUGAGACACGGCCCAGACUCCUACGGGAGGCAGCAGUGGGGAAUUUUGGACAAUGGGCGAAAGCCUGAUCCAGCCAUGCCGCGUGCGGGAAGAAGGCCUUCGGGUUGUAAACCGCUUUUGUCAGGGAAGAAAUCUUCUGGGUUAAUACCUCGGGAGGAUGACGGUACCUGAAGAAUAAGCACCGGCUAACUACGUGCCAGCCGCCGCAGUAA